GGGUUCCCUUGAUACCAUUCUAUUGGUACAAGUUAUACUUUUUAUCAUUGUAUGUCUCUCUUUCUAUUCUCGAAGUUCCGAACUAAGAUUGCUCUGACUUUCUCAUUGCACAAUGAGAAUACGUAGGCACGAGGAUGUGAAUCCUUGGCGAGCAUACUUCUAAUUGUUCCUCCUUCGCCUUAGGGAACCAUCCAUACCUUUCAUAAUCCAGUAUCUACCUUCGAUCAUAAAUCGUUCACCUAGUGACACAUUAUUCCUUUGACGUCGAGAUACACUUUCCUUGGAAUUCCGUAUACAUCCUUUUAGGAAACCUAAUGUAGUCCAUCUUUCU
rnacentral:lncRNA from 1 species